rnacentral:rRNA from 1 species
UGGGGAAUAUUGCGCAAUGGGGGGAACCCUGGCGCAGCCAUGCCGCGUGAAUGAAGAAGGCCUUAGGGUUGUAAAGUUCUUUCGGUAUUGAGGAAGGUUGAUGUGUUAAUAGCACAUCAAAUUGACGUUAAAUACAGAAGAAGCACCGGCUAACUCCGUGCCAGCAGCCGCGGUAAUACGGAGGGUGCGAGCGUUAAUCGGAAUAACUGGGCGUAAAGGGCACGCAGGCGGUUAUUUAAGUGAGGUGUGAAAGCCCUGGGCUUAACCUAGGAAUUGCAUUUCAGACUGGGUAACUAGAGUACUUUAGGGAGGGGUAGAAUUCCACGUGUAGCGGUGAAAUGCGUAGAGAUGUGGAGGAAUACCGAAGGCGAAGGCAGCCCCUUGGGAAUGUACUGACGCUCAUGUGCGAAAGCGUGGGGAGCAAACAGGAUUAGAUACCCUGGUAGUCCACGCUGUAAACGCUGUCGAUUUGGGGGUUGGGGUUUAACUCUGGCGCCCGUAGCUAACGUGAUAAAUCGACCGCCUGGGGAGUACGGCCGCAAGGUUA